rnacentral:rRNA from 1 species
GCCCGCUCAGAAACUUAAAGGAAUUGACGGGGGCCCGCACAAGCGGUGGAGCAUGUGGUUUAAUUCGACGCAACGCGAAGAACCUUACCAGGGCUUGACAUCUUCUGAUCGCUUUAAGGAAACUUAAGCUUUCCGGAAGGUUUACUUUCCGGACAGAAAGACAGGUGGUGCAUGGUUGUCGUCAGCUCGUGCCGUGAGGUGUCGGGUUAAGUCCCAUAACGAGCGCAACCCCUAUCGUUAGUUGCUAGCAGGUAAUGCUGAGGACUCUAGCGAAACUGCCGGUGUAAACCGAGAGGAAGGUGGGGAUGACGUCAAAUCAGCACGGCCCUUAUGUCCAGGGCUACACACGUGUUACAAUGGCCGGUACAAUGGGCAGCUACCUGGUGACAGGAUGCUAAUCUCCAAAGCCGGUCUCAGUUCGGAUCGGAGUCUGCAACUCGACUCCGUGAAGUUGGAUUCGCUAGUAAUCGUAUAUCAGCAAUGAUACGGUGAAUACGUUCCCGGGCCUU